UAUCCGGCGGACGGGUGAGUAAUGCCUAGGAAUCUGCCUGGUAGUGGGGGAUAACGUUCCGAAAGGAACGCUAAUACCGCAUACGUCCUACGGGAGAAAGCAGGGGACCUUCGGGCCUUGCGCUAUCAGAUGAGCCUAGGUCGGAUUAGCUAGUUGGUGAGGUAAUGGCUCACCAAGGCGACGAUCCGUAACUGGUCUGAGAGGAUGAUCAGUCACACUGGAACUGAGACACGGUCCAGACUCCUACGGGAGGCAGCAGUGGGGAAUAUUGGACAAUGGGCGAAAGCCUGAUCCAGCCAUGCCGCGUGUGUGAAGAAGGUCUUCGGAUUGUAAAGCACUUUAAGUUGGGAGGAAGGGCAUUAACCUAAUACGUUAGUGUUUUGACGUUACCGACAGAAUAAGCACCGGCUAACUUCGUGCCAGCAGCCGCGGUAAUACGAAGGGUGCAAGCGUUAAUCGGAAUUACUGGGCGUAAAGCGCGCGUAGGUGGUUCGUUAAGUUGGAUGUGAAAGCCCCGGGCUCAACCUGGGAACUGCAUCCAAAACUGGCGAGCUAGAGUACGGUAGAGGGUGGUGGAAUUUCCUGUGUAGCGGUGAAAUGCGUAGAUAUAGGAAGGAACACCAGUGGCGAAGGCGACCACCUGGACUGAUACUGACACUGAGGUGGGAAAGCGUGGGGAGCAAACAGGAUUAGAUACCCUGGUAGUCCACGCCGUAAACGAUGUCAACUAGCGGUUGGAUUCCUUGAGAUUUUAGUGGCGCAGCUAACGCAUUAAGUUGACCGCCUGGGGAGUACGGCCGCAAGGUUAAAACUCAAAUGAAUUGACGGGGGCCCGCACAAGCGGUGGAGCAUGUGGUUUAAUUCGAAGCAACGCGAAGAACCCUUACCUGGGCCUUGACAUGCUGAGAACUUUCCAGAGAUGGAUUGGUGCCUUCGGGAACUCAGACACAGUGCUGCAUGCUGUCGUCAGCUCGUGUCGUGAGAUGUUGGGUUAAGUCCCGUACGAGCGCAACCCUGUCCUUAGUUACCAGCACGUAUGGUGGGCACUCUAGGAACUGCCGGUGACAACCGGAGGAAGUGGGGAUGACGUCAAGUCAUCAUGCUACGGCCAGCUACACGUGCUACAAUGGUCGGACAAAGGGUUGCA
rnacentral:rRNA from 1 species